GCGUCGGGGGCGGGAUGCGCUCGACGCCAUCUCCGUGCGCCCGGCUGGGGGGGGCCGCUGGGUGUGGGGCGGCUCCGGGGCCGGGGAUGGCGGCGGCCGCGGCGGCGGCGGCUCCGGGACGAGCGGGAGGAGUCCUGGGAGCUCCGUGAGAUGGGCCGGCUCCCAAGCCAGAGGGGAGGACACUUACCACAGCAGCUCAGAAGCACCACCAGAAGCUCAGAUGUGGGCACCCCAGCCAGCAGCAGAGAGGUGUGCAGGGAGCCACAGAGAAGUCCCUUCUGAUGCCCGAAGGAGCAGGCAAGCCCCAUCCAGGCCC
rnacentral:lncRNA from 1 species